CACAGGCCGCGUUUCUUCCGGUCCACGGAAAGCUCUAAAACUCUCGACACCUGCCAGGUGACUGAGGCGAGCUACAUGGAAUUAACGAUCCACAGAUUCACAGAUGCAUGAUGGGACAGACAGACACACACCACCCGAUUGGCUGGCUGAGGACAAAAGGACCAAGCGACUGCUGUUGUGGUGAUCAGACUCCUUUAAAGAGAGUGAUGGCCCAGAUGAAUCCUCUGGACCAGGAAACAUUGAAUCAGUGAUUCAUGGCGCUGGUUCCCUCGCCGUGGUCUCUGGUGUCCUCUGGUGGCUGAAUAAGGGAAGUGCAGCUCAGUCUACAAGCAGAAUAAGGCUUCUUCCUAAUCUCUGCCGGCUCUACAAAGCUGAAUUAUCAGCUUCUAA